GGCGCGUUCGUCUAGUGGCUUAGGACGCUGCCCUCUCAAGGCAGAGAUCACGGGUUCGAAUCCCGUACGCGCUACCA
rnacentral:tRNA from 1 species